AUGAAUGCUGGCGGCGUGCCUAACACAUGCAAGUCGCGCGGCAGCGAGGGGUGCUUGCACCCUGUCGGCGAGCGGCGAACGGCUGAGUAACGCGUAGGAAUUUGCCCCAAAGUGAGGAAUAACUGCCCGAAAGGGUAGCUAAUGCCGCAUAUGGUCUUCGGAUUAAAGGAUUUAUCCGCUUUGGGAGAAGCCUGCGUUGGAUUAGGUUGUUGGUAGGGUAAUGGCCUACCAAGCCGACGAUCCAUAGCUGGUCUGAGAGGAUGAUCAGCCAGACUGGAACUGAGACACGGUCCAGACUCCUACGGGAGGCAGCAGUGAGGAAUCUUCCACAAUGGGCGAAAGCCUGAUGGAGCAACGCCGCGUGAAGGAUGAAGGCCUUCGGGUUGUAAACUUCUUUUAUGAGUGAAGAAUAUGACGGUAACUCAUGAAUAAGCACCGGCUAACUACGUG
rnacentral:rRNA from 1 species